AUUUUUCAAGUCACUUGAAUUGUUCAAUGGUCACAAGAAACUACUAGUUGCUUAUUUUAGUGAAUUAUGCUGCAUUCAAGAAUGUGAGCUCUUUUCUGUGUCUGUGGAGUAAAAUGAGGAAGUUAUCAUCAGGUUUUACCAAAAGUCAUGUUGAACCAGUGCUAUGCUGUUACUUUUAUAAGAAUGAGCUCGCUUGCACUGAGGACAGCCUCAAGCCUUCCACUUCCCCACUGUGGCCCCAGUGGAAGGACCGGUCUAUUAUAUUUUCAUCAUAGAGUGUUUGAUCCAGAAAGAGGCCAGGUUCAGCUGUAUCAGGCCCUCAAUUCCACACACCAUGAGAAU
rnacentral:lncRNA from 10 species